ACGGGUGAGUAACGCGUGGGUAACCUGCCUACAUACAGGGGGAUAACAGUUAGAAAUGACUGCUAAGACCGCAUAAUAUAGCGAAACCGCAUGAUUUUGCUAAUCAAAUAUUUAUAGGGUAUGAGAUGGGCCCGCGUCUGAUUAGCUAGUUGGUGGGGUAAAAGCCUACCAAGGCGACGAUCAGUAGCCGGCUUGAGAGAGUGACCGGCCGACAUUGGGACUGAGACACGGCCCAAACUCCUACGGGAGGCAGCAGUGGGAAUAUUGGACAACGGGGGAAACCCUGAUCCAGCGAACCGCCGCGUGAGUGAAGAAGUAUUUCGGUAUGUAAAGCUCUAUCAGCAGGGAAGAUAAUGACAGUACCUGACUAAGAAGCCCCGGCUAACUACGUGCCAGCAGCGGC
rnacentral:rRNA from 1 species